rnacentral:rRNA from 1 species
GGGUACCGUCAUUAUCGUCCCCGGUGAAAGAAUUUUACAAUCCUAAGACCUUCAUCAUUCACGCGGCAUGGCUGCGUCAGGCUUUCGCCCAUUGCGCAAGAUUCCCCACUGCUGCCUCCCGUAGGAGUA